GUCUUCAGGAACCGAAGAGUUCACCAGUAGAAUCAGUAUCUUCAUCUCCUUUGAGGAUUUCAAAAAAGGAUUUAUGCUCAGCAACUAAAAGGAACCCCAAGAGAAAAGACGAACACAAAAGUGCUAAUUCCAUUCCCAGUUCUACACCAAGGUGGUCUUCUUAUGGUGAAAACGAUAGGUGCAGCAAUCGUUCUGGGAUGAUGAAGAAAGAAGAAUCUUCCAAUGGCAAGCAUCAUGGAAUGGAGUCCGCUGAACUUGAUUACCUGGAGAAAGAUGUCCAUGAUGUAUCAGGUGGUACAAUAAAAGAAAAGAUAAAAGGUUCUGAUUUUGC
rnacentral:misc_RNA from 1 species